AUGGGCAUCUUGGACAGAUGCCACUAUACGAAAAAAUCACUACAAGCCUAACUAAGAUAGUCUUGAUAGGCUCUGAACUUAAGGAAGACCCUAUGGCAACUUUGGACAAGCUCCCGGAAUUGCAGGUACUAGUAUUGCAAGAAAACGCAUUUGCCGGAGAGAAAUGAUAUGCGUUAAAUCUGGUUUCAAGAAACUCAAACGGUUAGAGCUCUUGACUUUGCGUUUCUUAGAGACGUGGGAGGUGGAGAAAGGAUCCAUGCCUGUGCUUUCCAUUUUAGCAGUUAAAAACUGCAAGAAAUUGCAAAUUCUACUGGAUGGAUUAAGGAAUCGAUUUCGUGGAAUCACAUUUGACAUUGUUAGUGAGCAUAUAUCCAAAGAUGGAUUGAGGUUGAAAGAAUCUGGACCAGGUAGUUUCUUAACCAUCAGUAGUUUCUCUCAAACUAUAAUUUUCAUCUUGUAUUGCAUUUUUAGGGAAAUAACCAAAUUUGCUGAUUUGUCUGGUCUCCCGUUAUCUCUCUCCACUCUCCCUUUCUAGAAAACAAUAUCUGAAGAUUGUCCAAAACAAACAUAUUGAACUUAUAUUUCACUUUGCGACUGUUAAUACUCAUAUAUUCAAAUACAAUACUGAAAAGUUAUUUUUGAAUCAUAUAAUCAAAAUAGUUUUCUAUUUUUUUGAUACACUGGAUUACGUGUCAAAUAAUAGAAAAAGUUAUUUUCUUCUAAGAGCUUUAGUGUAUAUAUUUUUUGUAAUUCUCCCAGAAACUAAAUGAUGCAGUUCAAACAUUCUUUUGUAUGUUUCUUAUUCCAUUUAUUCUUCAUUUCGCUACCGCUUUGCAAACCUCAGAAUAACGUCAAUGUAUAUAUAUAUGAUUUAAUGACCACUGGUGCUCAUCUUAUUCUAAGUAUCAGUAAUGUAUCAUAUUAAUUCAUCGGUACUUAAGAUAAGAUGAGCACCGAUUCUUAUUAGAUCAUUUCUCUAUAUAUAUUUUGUGAAUUUUGAUUCCCAAUAUUGUUAAUUUUGCAGGAACUUGAGCAUUUCUAUAUGAAGAUAUAAACUCUUGUUAUCUUUCCACAAGAAUAUAAUGUUGCAGAAAUUCCAAGAAGGGUGCAUUCCUAUUGAACAUUGAAAAUAUCUUUUAUUCUUGAAAAUAUCUAAUUGUGUUUUUAAGCUAAAAUAUUUCAUAUUUUAAUUUGGAAGAGUUCCGGUGAUGUUUGUGUACUUUAGUUUGAAUAAAUGAAUGUCUUUAUUGUAAGGACCUUUGCCAUUGUUGUGUUAUAAUUUAAAAGAUUUGCGAU
rnacentral:lncRNA from 1 species